AUACUAUUUAACUAUCUUCUAGGACAAGGACUCACUUAAAUGAGACUAUGCAGUCCCCGGAUCUGCCUCCACACCUUCUUACAUAGUCUCCCCAAAUUUCACCGGACUAUGGAAGCGGGUCUUAUACAACGCUGAAGUCUCGUUCUUCGCUUCAGCCUCAUCGUUCUCACUCACUCGUUUCCUUCGCUUCAGUCUUCUCCGGCUGCUCUUUUUCAGGAAGGAAACUACUCGGUACUGGAGAAGUUCUAUGUACAUCGGCAAGGAUACAAGAACAGAUUUUCAAAAUCCAGGUGGAACCGCGUCUUUCCUUACUCACAACUUUGAUGUUGAUGAGGUUUAUCUUGCUUACAGUGUCUCAGAUAGCUCAGUAAAAUUGAGGGUCUGGUUGAAUCCUACCUACAGGGCAAUUUAUACUGCUGCUGUGGCAGGGUUCUAGUAAAACGUGGUUGGAACAGGGGAAUUUACCUGCUGAUAACUGUGAUUUUUAUGCUCAUUGCGGUCCCAAUAGUGCCUGUCGUAAAGGUGAACCACUGUCAUCAUCAUGCAAGUGUUUGAUUGGUUUUACAGCCAAGUUUCCUAACCAAUCAGCUGUGGGAAAUUGGUCCAGUGGCCGCGUUAGGGAAAAGAUGUUAACAUGUGGUAAUGGCAUACAAGCUUAUGCGCAUGUAAAUGACACAGACGGAAGUAAUAUUGGGAAAUGUUUGACAUGGUUUGGCGAAUUACUGGAUCUAGUAGAGAAUCACUACAAUUCUAAACGUGAUAUCUAUAUUUGUGUUCACGGCUCCGAACCAGGCAAGAUGGGUCUUUCUGUUAAUUCCUUGAAGCGGACUAUUGUAAUUGCAAUAGCCUCUGCAGCAAUUGGAUUAUUUACAAUAACUUGUGCGAAUUUCUUAUAGGUAGAGGAUUAUCGUAAGUGAGGCACUUAACCAUCUGUUUCUUGUAAUUGAGGAUCCCAUUUUUUCAGAAGUCCUCUAAUGCUGGUUGUUUAUGUAAUUGACUCAGUUCACGACAAGCUGCUUCCCUGCAUUGCUCUUUCAGUCAUUUCUCUGCCCUUUGGAUUCCUAACAAGUGGAGUUAAUGAAAUUGGUUCUGUUUUCGGAUGUAUGUGGAGGCUUUGAAAUGUGCAUUGUGGCUUGCCGCUUUGGCACACUUCUGGAAUAAUGAAGGUAUUACUGAUCAUAUCAGACGAGUGAGAUGACUGUCCCAUGACCAAGCUGCCAGAAAUCAACUUUGAGGCUCUGUUUUGGCGCAAAACUCCUAGAGAAAUGAAGCUUAUUUUUAGGCUCAUGUUGUUAUUACGUUAGGAAACUUUCAUUAUGGAAGGGAGCUUGUCCUUAUCACCAAGGGUGGCAUUCCUUUCUAAUCAAGCAAAAUUAACUUUGCUCACAAAGUAUGUAUUAGCUGAUCCUUUAGGAUGUGGCUCUCUAUCUUGCAGAGGCCAUUUUGACCCUUUAGGAUGUCUUGUAUGUUCGCAGUUUAUUAAUGAAAUCAUUUCCUAUAUGAUAAAAAAAAAAGUGUAAAACUACAUUAUAAAUAUUAUCUCUUAUUAAUAGAUAAUAUUUUGCUUUAAAAAAAAUAUUGUGAUAUUCAAAAUUAAAUUAGUCCUAAAC